AACCGCUGCCUUACCACAAAGAAUGCUAUCUUGCCGGAAAAGAUGAUGAGAGCAAAUUGUCGAAGGUGAGAGGUCAACCCCAGGUCACUAAAUACGAUGUUCCCAGAGCAUGUAUAUGGAACCAAACAACCAGCCGAGACGAACUUUCUACUAGGAAUCCAUGUACAAACAAUAUCCAAAUUGUUAUGACAAAUAACGUGAAAUCAAUAAAUGACGUUCACCCUGUCAUCUUGAUCCGUUAGGUUUGCAACAAGAGGUGUUCAGAGUUGAGCAACAACGUAAA